rnacentral:misc_RNA from 1 species
GAUGAAGAACGCAGCGAAAUGCGAUACUUGGUGUGAAUUGCAGAAUCCCGUGAACCAUCGAGUCUUUGAACGCAAGUUGCGCCCGAAGCCAUCAGGUUGAGGGCACGUCUGCCUGGGCGUCACAUAUCGUUGCCCAAUGCCUAUUGCAGUGCAAUAGGAAUUUCUAGGGCGAAUGAUGGCUUCCCGUGAGCGUUGUUGCCUCGCGGUUGGUUGAAAAUCGAGUCCUUGGUAGGGUGUGCCAUGGUAGAUGGUGGUCGAGUUAGAACGAUACCGAUCAUGUGCAUGCUCCCCAAAAUAUGGCCUCUAUGACCCACACGCGUCUUUUGACGCUCAUGACGAGACCUCAGGUCAGGCGGGGCUACCCGCUGAAUUUAAGCAUAUCAAUAAGCGGAGUA